GGUUACAGCUGGAUUGACGGCUUGAAAGAUCAUGCAAACAAACAAAUUCGAUUCUGAUGAACGCAAGCUUUGUCUACCCUGAAACAACUCCGACUACAAAAGAAGGAUAAUACUAUAGGACUAUCUUUGAGAAAUAUUUUCCAAAGAUGUAAAGACUGGAAGUCUUGUGAGUGACUCUCCACAGAAACUUGUAAAAGGGGUUGCAGAGAAAGUAGCUGCAGUACUUUGAGUGGGAUGAAAAAGAUGAGACCAGAAGGCCCUGUAGGGAAUCCAUCAUGACUGUGGAGAUGGGUAGAAAUUUGGUCGAGGUGGAAGAAAUUGGGGCUGACAAUGACCGACCGGCGGCACCUGGUUCCGGUGAUUAGCUGGAAAGGGCAUAUAGCGUGGCUUACAUGGAUCUUGAUUCUUGACAGGACCCAUAGAAUUCUUCAUUGGACCAUAAGGACCUCUCUGGUCUACGUAGACUUGCAUCAUCUUGAGAAAUUGUUUUGGCACCAGAAUUCUCAAGAAACAGGAAAGAGGAUUGGGAUAUGGAAACUUAGACGAGGGGGUGUCUCUAUUUAUAAGGUUUGAGAAUAGGAAACUAGAUGAGGCGGUUGGGUUUCCGACUAUAGGGUUUAGGAUUUGGGGUUUCCCAAUCCUUGUGGGUAAAAGAUUUUUGGAUUUCCCAAUCCUUUUGGGUUAAGGAUUGGCCAAUUUGACUCGGGUUCCCUAACUUCUUUUAUUUUUAUUUUCAUGUUUUUAAUUGACAAUUUUACUU
rnacentral:lncRNA from 1 species